GCUUCCACGGAGGCCUCGUGUAGGCCUCUGUGAAGCCUGAACUCGAGUAGGGACCAAGCCAGCCAGGAAGGAGGAGGCAGCCAGAGUGGCCACCACUGUUCUCUGCAGCAGAAGACCCCCUGCUGCCAGGGAGCGCAUUCCGAAGUCCAGGAGCAGCAACACAAACGGCCUGUUCCCAAGUAGCCGCAAAACGAGUUGGCGGCAGCCACAGGCGAACCUCUCCCGAUGAUCUUAACAGGCGGUGGGGCUCAUGGCGAAGAAGACUUUCUCUUAAAUACCCAGGGCCUAAGCUGUUAAGGGCUUUAUAGGUAAUCACCAGCACCUUGUAUUUUGCCCAGAAACGUAUCACCAACCAGUGUAGUUCUUUCAACACAGGAGUAAUAUUGUCUCUCCUAGAUGACCCAGAGACCAACCUGGCCGCUGCAUUCUGGACCAACUGCAGUUUCUGGACUACGUACAACAGCAGCCCCACAUAAAGUACAGUGCAGUAAUCCAGCCUAGAAGUUACUAGCAUAUGUACCGCCAUUUUGAGGUCAUUCAUCUCAAGAAACAGAUGCAGCUGGCGUAUCAGACGAAGCCAAUAAAAAGCUUUCUGGCCACCGCCUCAACCUGGGACACCAGGAAGAGGUUCGGAUCCAGAAGCACCCCCAGAUUCCGUACCUGUUCCUUCCGGGGGAGUGUGACCCUAUCCAGAACUGGCAGAUCAAAAUUGUCCCUGCUCCUGCUCCUCCCACUCCUGUUUUUCUCUCUUCUCCAGAAUCUUUCCUUUCCUCUCCUCUCCCCAGCACCUAGCUAUGAUAGCGGCAUGUCAAACAUGAAGUGUCCUGGGAAGUUCCAUUUUCCCAAUACUCCCAACUGGUUCUUAAAUUGUGGCCCUCCAGAAGUUGUUGGACUACAAGCUCUCAUCACCCGUAGUCACAAUGGCCAAUAAUAAUAAUAAACAAUGGUGAUGAUUUAGCUGUGCAAGUGCACAAGAUCCCUGGCCGACGAAAAAACUGGCACCCUUUGCUAACAAGGCUGUCAGAGGGGGCUUUGCUCCAUAAUCCAACUUUGGGGGUGGCUCGAUUGUCAUACAUGCAGGACAGGGCCUUCUCUGUUUUGGCCCCUGGACUCUAGAAUGCUCUCCCAGUGGGUGAGUGUUCUCUGGAAUCUGUGGCUGCUAAAAACAAUUUUCAAACUUUUUGAAAAUGCUUUUAUUUGUUUGUACUUUUACCCCUCAAGGGGUUACCAGUCUCUCCUUUCUGGCUGCUCUGUUGUUGUUUUUAUGAUUGUUGCUUUUGGGUGUCUUUCUGUCUUAAGACCAUAAAGACUUAAAUAUGAAAGACUGCUUAUAUUAAAGAUUAAGGAUUAAUAUUACAAUCCUAAAGACUGUUUUUAAUAUUUUAAUGUGAUUUUAUGGACUUUUCUUGUAUUGACUUUUGCAAACCGCCUUUUGUAAACCACCUAAGUUAUACGAGAGGCAGUAUAUAAAUCGAACAAUAAAUAAACAAAAUAAGUGCACAGGCACCAGUUCUCAGGCAA